rnacentral:lncRNA from 1 species
AAGAGUAAAGUACUUCCGCUUCCUUAGGUGGAGCUGGAAAGGUGGAGGCGGAAGUGACUGAUCAAUUCAGGGGCGUGGGGUUCGUUUAGGUUUUGCCCUGUGUAUGACCUCGUUUGGAGCCAUGAAACCAGGUCUGUGAAAUUUAGUGUCUAUUUUCUACCAUAACACAUGUUAAUUUGGACUAACCACAUUUCGAGUGCUCAGUAGCCACAUGUGGCUAGCGACUACUAUCUUGAGCAAUGCAACGAUAAGUCUGCACUUACGUUCAAAAAGACUUAAAGCAGGGAUCGACAACCCCCAGGCCACAGACUGGUAUGGAUCCAUGGCCUGUUAAGAACUGUGCCACACAGCAGGAGGUCACCAUGUGUGAUGACUACAUCCAAAGAGAGUGAGUGGCUUGAGACAUUGGUAGUAUGUGUAUCUGAUCAUAUCAAUAUGUUAAAAUGACGUUCAAAGUAUGAUCUACCUCAGAAUAAUCUAGCCUCAAGCUUUAUUCUAGGAAGGUAAUUCUGAAGAUACCUAUCUUCUUGAGAGUGAAAUUUUAUGGAAUCCUAGAUUUCUCAUACCUAGGAAUAACAAUACAAGGGACAGAAUAGUUAGCAGUGUUCCUGUUGAAAGGUCCAAGUAUCUCCCUAGGCACAGAAAACACCCAAAUGAGCAAAGCAGACCUUGGUGGCCAGAGGGGAGCCCUCAGGUAGAGCUGCAGAUGCUGGCAGUUUGUGUUAGAAGGUUCCGGGGCUAAACAGAUGCCUAGAAUUAGCCACCAAAAGGUAAAUUGUAGACUCCACUCUUCAAGAAGCAGCAGAAGGAUUAGGAAUUCAAACAGUGCUAUUUUACGGUCAUAAGAACAGACAGUAUUUUUUUGGCGCAGCAAGAACUUCUUAGGCCAUAAAGCAUGACAGACCUCUUUUCCUUAUGCGCUGAAUUGAAGAAGUGCUGACUCUUUUGCUGAUGGAAGCUCUUCCACGAGUUCACGAAUGGAAAUAACAUCAAGAGUUUUUCAUCUUCUUAGUGUGCAAGAUGUCUGAGGAAUAGUCUUAGUGGAUUAUCCCAAACUUGACACAUUUUUUGCAAAAUGCUAUACAAAAAGAAGAUACAUGCGAUUAUGACAAGAUUCUCCACUUGGUGUGACCAGUCUCAUACAACCCAAGGCUGUGUGUCCAAAGGCAACUGUACUGAUCUUGACAAUAAUCAAAAGGUAGCCAGGUGCAUCGGGGAAAGCACUGACAUUGGAGUCAGACAGACUGAAGUUCAUAUCUGAUUCUGCUAUAUGACAACGUGUGGGCUAUGUGGCUAACUUCUCAGAGCUUCAGUUUUCUCAAGGGCAAAAUGAAAAUAAUAGAAAUAAUAGAAUCCACCUCACAGGGCUGUGGUGAGAAUUGGAGAUGAAGCACAUACAGCAUAUUACAUCAACUAAACACAUGCUAAAAAUUAAAGGGGAUGAAAGAUACAUUGGUCCCUGCAGUGGGAAGUUUCCUUGACAAUGCAAUUAUUGAUUCCAGAAGGCUGAACAAAUGUUGACAGAGGAACACACUGUUUGCUUAUGUCUAAUCUUCCCAUCUGACUUAUAUAAAUGUCACAAAUGAAUCUCAGACAUGUGCCCAAUAUCAAAUAUCCAUACGAUGGCCCUGGAAAGAGGCAAUCUACAUUUAUGGCUGAUGAGAAGAUGGAUUUUUAGCUUGAAAGAAACUUAUUACUGGGGAGAGGAAGUAUAAAUGAAUGGAGAGAGCUAUGAAGAGGUUGAGAGAAUACAGCCAAGGCACAUGACAGAAUUGCUCUGUUGAAGUUUUGCAAGGUCAAAUGACUCACUUUGUCUAAUGGAACGGGAACGAACAAUUUUUUUGUGUCACGUUUGAACAGAUACCUUUGAGAAGUUUAUGAUUCUCCAAGUUCUCUUUCUCCUACUGUGGCACCUACUGACAAGAUAAAUGUGUAGAGGUUCCUGAGUCUAGGGGUGAGUCUUGCAUAUCUGAUGAAUCCACCAGUAAAAGUACCACUGCUGAAAUCACGCAAAUAUAUUUUUUUAGACCUUAUCAACCUUGGCAUGGAAUUAGAUGAGCAAAAAGCUGAGUUGAAUUGAUGAAAAGAAUCCCAAGUCAUUAAUUACUAAUGAUGGAGCUUGUAAAGUACAGCAUCACUGGGGAAAGCAACUGACUUUCCUCAUACACAUUAUAUUUUUAUCUGAAUUUCAAUACUGCUUAAAUAUGUACUUCAUUACAGGGCACAACUAAAAUAGAAGGGCACCUGCUAAGUCAGAGCCAUAAAACAGAUCUACAGCCUGCUGGCAUGUGAAAUUUCUCUAAUUUAUAUUUUUUAUGAAACUACCCUCACAUUAUGUGGUUGGCAGCAUAAAUAAUAAAGCAUGUUACUGAAGCAAUUUUACAUUUACUGUAUUAGUAAGUAAAUGCAAUGGCCACUCUUAUUCUCAAAUAAAAACUACCCAGCCUUUUCAUGAAAGAUGUUUGCAAUUUCCAUUGGCCUGUAUAUGCAAUAAAAAGCCAUAACUCAUCAAAA